UACAUGGGGUGCAAACGUUGCUCGGAAUUAUUGGGCGUAAAGCGCGCGUAGGCGGUUACUCAAGUCGGAUGUGAAAGCCCUCGGCUUAACUGAGGAAGUGCACCCGAAACUGAGUAGCUAGAGUACUAAAGAGGGUCGCGGAAUUCCCGGUGUAGAGGUGAAAUUCGUAGAUAUCGGGAGGAACACCGGUGGCGAAGGCGGCGACCUGGGUAGAUACUGACGCUGAGGCGCGAAAGCGUAGGGAGCAAACAGG
rnacentral:rRNA from 1 species